UACGAAGGGGGCUAGCGUUGUUCGGAUUUACUGGGCGUAAAGCGCACGUAGGCGGAUUGUUAAGUCAGGGGUGAAAUCCCAGAGCUCAACUCUGGAACUGCCUUUGAUACUGGCAACCUAGAGACUGGAAGAGGUUAGUGGAAUUCCCAGUGUAGAGGUGAAAUUCGUAGAUAUUGGGAAGAACACCAGUGGCGAAGGCGGCUAACUGGUCCAGCACUGACGCUGAGGUGCGAAAGCGUGGGGAGCAAACAGG
rnacentral:rRNA from 1 species